rnacentral:rRNA from 1 species
UGCGUAGGCGGGCUAAUAAGUCAGUGGUGAAAUAUUCCGGCUCAACCGGGAGACUGCCAUUGAUACUGUUAGUCUUGAGUUCGGCUGAGGUAGGCGGAAUGUGUAAUGUAGCGGUGAAAUGCUUAGAUAUUACACAGAACACCAAUUGCGUAGGCAGCUUACUAGACCGACACUGACACUGAGGCACGAAAGCGUGGGGAGCGAACAGGAUUAGAUACCCUGGUAGUCC